rnacentral:misc_RNA from 1 species
UUGUGGAGGAGGACGCCGAAGGUGGGGCUAAUGACUGGGGUGAAGUCGUAACAAGGUAGCCGUACCGGAAGGUGCGGCUGGAUCACCUCCUAACAGGGAGACAACAAAAUGUUUAAUAUUAUUAUUUUGUCACCUUAGGUCGAUCGGUAUCUCACGUUCUUAAUUUAUUAAGAAUUUCAUUUCCUAAGUUUUUCUAGGUCACACCCAUUAUUUUCCUGGGCCAUUAGCUCAGGUGGUUAGAGCGCACCCCUGAUAAGGGUGAGGUCCCUGGUUCAAGUCCAGGAUGGCCCAUAUCUCUAUGUUGGGGGUAUAGCUCAGUUGGUAGAGCGCCUGCUUUGCAAGCAGGAUGUCAGCGGUUCGAGUCCGCUUACCUCCACUGAUCACCACCUCUUCCAUAAUCGAUAGAAAGGAAAUGUUUUGAGUUGUGAUCUAAUUCUGAACGAAUCUAGCUUCCUAAUCAAAUUAUUAAGAUGCUGGACUCAUUGAAUUAAUUUCAUUGUUUUCAGAGAACCUUGACAACUGCAUAGAUUAUUUUUAAAGACAAUAAGCAUCUUUUAAUGAUGCAGAUUUAUUAUUUGUGCGAAUGCAUUAAUAACAAUUCUAUUAAGCUGAUGCUUCAAUUUUGAAGUUAUUGGUCAAGCUACAA